rnacentral:rRNA from 1 species
GUCGAACGGUGACGAGGGGCUUGCUCCUCUGAUCAGUGGCGAACGGGUGAGUAACACGUGAGUAACCUGCCCUUCACUCUGGGAUAACGCUGGGAAACUGGUGCUAAUACUGGAUAUGACCUGCUCGGGCAUCCGAUGUGGGUGGAAAGAUUUAUUGGUGGAGGAUGGACUCGCGGCCUAUCAGCUUGUUGGUGAGGUAAUGGCUCACCAAGGCGACGACGGGUAGCCGGCCUGAGAGGGCGAUCGGCCACACUGGGACUGAGACACGGCCCAGACUCCUACGGGAGGCAGCAGUGGGGAAUAUUGCACAAUGGGCGAAAGCCUGAUGCAGCGACGCCGCGUGAGGGAUGAAGGCCUUCGGGUUGUAAACCUCUUUCAGCAGGGAAGAAGCGUCUGGGUUUUCUCAGGUGUGACGGUACCUGCAGAAGAAGCACCGGCUAACUACGUGCCAGCAGCCGCGGUAAUACGUAGGGUGCAAGCGUUGUCCGGAAUUAUUGGGCGUAAAGAGCUUGUAGGCGGUUUGUCGCGUCUGCUGUGAAAUUUCGGGGCUCAACCCCGAACUUGCAGUGGGUACGGGCAGACUAGAGUGUGGUAGGGGAGACUGGAAUUCCUGGUGUAGCGGUGAAAUGCGCAGAUAUCAGGAGGAACACCGAUGGCGAAGGCAGGUCUCUGGGCCACUACUGACGCUGAGAAGCGAAAGCAUGGGGGAGCGAACAGGAUUAGAUACCCUGGUAGAAUCACU